rnacentral:rRNA from 1 species
AAGCGGUGGAGCAUGUGGUUUAAUUCGACGCAACGCGAAGAACCUUACCAGGGCUUGACAUCCCCUGACCGCGUAUGAAAGUACGUUUUCACCCUCGGGUGACAGGGAGACAGGUGGUGCAUGGUUGUCGUCAGCUCGUGUCGUGAGAUGUUGGGUUAAGUCCCGCAACGAGCGCGACCCCUACGUUUAGUUGCUAACGCGUGAAGGCGAGCACUCUAGACGAACUGCCGUUGACAAAACGGAGGAAGGUGGGGAUGACGUCAAAUCAUCAUGCCCCUUAUGUUCUGGGCUACACACGUGCUACAAUGGCCGGUACAGACGGACGCAAAGCCGCGAGGUGGAGCAAAUCCUAAAAAGCCGGUCUCAGUUCGGAUUGCAGGCUGCAAUUCGCCUGCAUGAAGUCGGAAUCGCUAGUAAUCGCAGGUCAGCAUACUGCGGUCGAAUACGUUCCCGGGCCUU